rnacentral:rRNA from 1 species
GGGACACGUGGUAUCCUGUCUGAAUAUGGGGGGACCAUCCUCCAAGGCUAAAUACUCCUGACUGACCGAUAGUGAACCAGUACCGUGAGGGAAAGGCGAAAAGAACCCCGGCGAGGGGAGUGAAAAAGAACCUGAAACCGUGUACGUACAAGCAGUGGGAGCCUCUUUUAUGGGGUGACUGCGUACCUUUUGUAUAAUGGGUCAGCGACUUAUAUUCUGUAGCAAGGUUAACCGAAUAGGGGAGCCGAAGGGAAACCGAGUCUUAACUGGGCGUUAAGUUGCAGGGUAUAGACCCGAAACCCGGUGAUCUAGCCAUGGGCAGGUUGAAGGUUGGGUAACACUAACUGGAGGACCGAACCGACUAAUGUUGAAAAAUUAGCGGAUGACUUGUGGCUGGGGGUGAAAGGCCAAUCAAACCGGGAGAUAGCUGGUUCUCCCCGAAAGCUAUUUAGGUAGCGCCUCGUGAAUUCAUCUCCGGGGGUAGAGCACUGUUUCGGCAAGGGGGUCAUCCCGACUUACCAACCCGAUGCAAACUGCGAAUACCGGAGAAUGUUAUCACGGGAGACACACGGCGGGUGCUAACGUCCGUCGUGAAGAGGGAAACAACCCAGACCGCCAGCUAAGGUCCCAAAGUCAUGGUUAAGUGGGAAACGAUGUGGGAAGGCCCAGACAGCCAGGAUGUUGGCUUAGAAGCAGCCAUCAUUUAAAGAAAGCGUAAUAGCUCACUGGUCGAGUCGGCCUGCGCGGAAGAUGUAACGGGGCUAAACCAUGCACCGAAGCUGCGGCAGCGACACUAUGUGUUGUUGGGUAGGGGAGCGUUCUGUAAGCCUGUGAAGGUGU